CUUUUUGGGGCUUGUCUUGCCUGCUUCUGAGGUUGAACCGCUGGUUUUCCCUGGUGAUACCACACGUGGAUUCGGCUUGGUUUGCCAGCAGGAC